rnacentral:rRNA from 1 species
AUGGCGUUAGCCCCCACAUCUCUCCAGAGCUUCCUCACAGGGAGGCCCCUAUGCACGGCCCCGCAGCUCACGAGGUCGUCAAUUAGGCCGGCAUCGGCGAGGCUCUCUUGCAGGGCCUCCAACCAGAAGGACGCGCCUCCGUCGUGGGCCGGAGACCUCGAGCUGAAGAAUCUCGGGAGGCUGGCGAUGGUCGCCCUGGCCGCCGGCGUGCUCGUGCUCGCGCCCGUCGAUGACGCCAUGGCGGGCAAGUCAGGCGGCAGGAUCGGCGGGAAGGCGUUCCGUUCCGCGGCGCCGCGCUCGUCCGGUCCAAGGAUAAACAACUCAAGGACGAACAUCUACGUCAAUCCCGGCGUGGCGCCACCGCUGGUCGGCGGCUACGGCUACGGUGGCUAUGGCGGGUACGGCUUGUCGCCGUUCGGCUUCUACGGUGGCCCGAGCGUCGCCCUCGGGGUCGGUGGCGGCUUCGACACGCUCGUCCUGUUCAUUGUGGGCGGGGCGGUCGUCGGCGCCGUCCGGCGGUUCCUCAACCGCAGGGAUAACGAUGAUUACGACGACUAA